CCACUUCUACUCCUGCCCUUUGCUCAAAGCCAGCAGAGCUAAUAUACACAGAAAAAAAUCUUGAGUUGAAAUGGCAUUGUGAGAUAUUAGUAACUGAUGGCUUUGUGUGUUAACAUGGACUGUUUAUUAUUGCCACUUGCCUCAAUUCUUUACAAGAGCAAGUCAGGAAUCUUAUCCUUGAAAUUGGAAUAAUUUCAUUUUUAACACUCCUUAGUUGAAUGAAACAGUCCACAGAAUCUCCAACGAAGAGCUGGAGCCUGAGGCCUACAUUUACAUGUGAAGCCUGAAACAAAAUGGCUGACCUUUAGCUUUUGGAUUUCCGAUAAUGCAUCUCCCACUACAAUAUUAAAAGAUAUACUUGGCGAAGAAGACUUUGGCAAAGGUAGAACAAUGCUCAGUAUCAAGAUGCUCCCAGACCUGCUGAGUUUCUCUUAACUUUGUUACACACAAUUAUUUGGCAACAAGAACAGUGGCCGCAGACUGUUUUUAGUUCACACACACACACCACCCUCGACAACUUCUAAUUUUUUUCAAGUAGCCUAACCGGAGGGAAUGGAGAACGGAGUUCGAGACCAGCCGACGCGGGAGACAAGUCAUGGGCAGAGGGGCCGUGUCCCGGAAGCGAGCCACGGUCAGAGCCGGAGCGGGAGCAGAGCGAGCGCGGGAUGAGCUGGGAGCUCAGUCAUGGCG